rnacentral:lncRNA from 1 species
ACCCAAGAUUCUUGGCUUAAGCACAAUAUUUUUGUCUGUUGCAUGGUGACAGAUGCAGGCUUCAUUCUACCUUCACUGCCAGGGCAGCAGGGCCUUUCCUGCUUCUGCACUUUGGCGUCAGAUUGACUGACUGGGGAUCAAAUUCCAGCUCCAGCCUUUCAGCUUAGACUUUUCUAAGUCCACACGAGGUCUCCAUUUUCUCCUCUACUGGGAGCAGAAGAUUACCAAAGAAAGAAAAGACAAACGCAUCAGCUAUUUGAAAAAGCAAGCCCAGAAAACAACUGACAAACCAAACAAAUCUGGGAGGCUCAGCAUACACAUUUUUCCCUUCUAGAAGCUCCGAAGUGCUAAUACACCGUUUACAUUUAAAUCUGGCGACAUUCAAAUGAAGAAAGCCAAUGGAAGUGAGUUAUGUUGGAUGCCUCCUCUUCCACAACUCCCUCCCCUUGAGUCAUGACAUUGGCAAUUUCAAAUAGGAAGCAAUCCCAAUGAAAGGUUGCAAACACCCUUUCAAGGUCUUUCUCCUUGUGGGCCCCGCAUACCUGCAACUACAUUCUUUCUCCUGAACCAGGCU